CCUACGGGAGGCAGCAGUGGGGAAUAUUGGACAAUGGGCGAAAGCCUGAUCCAGCAAUGCCGCGUGAGUGAUGAAGGCCUUAGGGUUGUAAAGCUCUUUUACCCGGGAUGAUAAUGACAGUACCGGGAGAAUAAGCUCCGGCUAACUCCGUGCCAGCAGCCGCGGUAAUACGGAGGGAGCUAGCGUUAUUCGGAAUUACUGGGCGUAAAGCGCACGUAGGCGGCUUUGUAAGUAAGAGGUGAAAGCCUGGUGCUCAACACCAGAACUGCCUUUUAGACUGCAUCGCUUGAAUCCAGGAGAGGUGAGUGGAAUUCCGAGUGUAGAGGUGAAAUUCGUAGAUAUUCGGAAGAACACCAGUGGCGAAGGCGGCUC
rnacentral:rRNA from 1 species